UACGAAGGGGGCUAGCGUUGCUCGGAAUUACUGGGCGUAAAGCGUGCGCAGGCGGUGAUGUAAGACAGGUGUGAAACCCCCGGGCUUAACCUGGGAACUGCAUUUGUGACUGCAUCGCUGGAGUGCGGCAGAGGGGGAUGGAAUUCCGCGUGUAGCAGUGAAAUGCGUAGAUAUGCGGAGGAACACCGAUGGCGAAGGCAAUCCCCUGGGCCUGCACUGACGCUCAUGCACGAAAGCGUGGGGAGCAAACAGG
rnacentral:rRNA from 1 species